AUUGAACGCUGGCGGCAGGCCUAACACAUGCAAGUCGAGCGGAUGAAGGGAGCUUGCUCCUGGAUUCAGCGGCGGACGGGUGAGUAAUGCCUAGGAAUCUGCCUGGUAGUGGGGGAUAACGUCCGGAAACGGGCGCUAAUACCGCAUACGUCCUGAGGGAGAAAGUGGGGGUUCUUCGGACCUCUCGCUAUCAGAUGAGCCUAGGUCGGAUUAGCUAGUUGUUGGGGUAAAGGCCUACCAAGGAGACUAUCCGUAACUGGUCUGAGAGGAUGAUCAGUCACACUGGAACUGAGACACGGUCCAGACUCCUACGGGAGGCAGCAGUGGGGAAUAUUGGACAAUGGGCGAAAGCCUGAUCCAGCCAUGCCGCGUGUGUGAAGAAGGUCUUCGGAUUGUAAAGCACUUUAAGUUGGGAGGAAGGGAAGUAAGUUAAUACCUUGCUGUUUUGACGUUACCAACAGAAUAAGCACCGGCUAACUUCGUG
rnacentral:rRNA from 1 species